CAAUAGCGUAUAUUAACGUUGUUGCAGUUAAAAAGCUCGUAGUUGAAUUUUUGCUUGCCGCCGAUGUCGGAACUUCCGUACGUUCGGCGGCGUGCAUCCUUGGGUGGAACCUGUGUGGCAUUAGGUUGUCGUGCAGGGGAUGCUCAUCGUUUACUGUGAAAAAAUUAGAGUGUUCAAAGCAGGCUUAUGCCGUUGAAUAUAUUAGCAUGGAAUAAUAAGAUAGGACCUUGGUACUAUUUUGUUGGUUUGCGCACCGAGGUAAUGAUUAACAGGGACAGUUGGGGGUAUUCGUAUUCCAUUGUCAGAGGUGAAAUUCUUGGAUUUCUGGAAGACGAACUACUGCGAAANCANNNACCAAGGAUGUUUUCAUNAA
rnacentral:rRNA from 1 species